GCUGAAAAUGGACUCCACUAAGAAAUAGAAUCCAUUAGACGUUAUCAUAUAAUGCAAAUCUGACUUUUUUUCCCAGGUGGUCAAGAAGCUGUGUGGGGAAGGUCGCGGUUCACCAGCAUUGGGAACGAGCACUCACAGAUAGUGACCUUUGUGCUGACUUGUGAGGAGUCCACUCCGCGGCUCACGCCCAUGUGCAGUGGAGUCAUGGAGAGGUUCCGGCUGGCCAGUCAGCCUGUCCAGAAGCUCCUCUACGUGGACCGUGGGUGUUGCCGGUCUCAGGGCACAACAGGAGUGCGGCUGGACAUCUUCCACUGGAUCCACAGAUUUGACGCGGAGUCCCACUGUAAGUAUGCAGUGUUCAAGUCUGCUCUAGCUGGGGCAGUUUUGGCCCACAACCGCCCGGACCUGGAGCUGCUCAUGAAAGCCAUCAGAGCCAAGAACCCGGAGAGUCUCGGACGAGGACAUUGUCCGCUGCCACAUCUCCAGGGAUCAGCUCAAGCACCAUGUGAGGAGGGUUACACUCGGUGCUCAGGAGACCUUUCGGCUCAUCCAGCCAUCGAGGAGAUGAAAGGUCCCGUUGGGCUGGACGAGAGCGGAGUUAGCCUCUUCAAAACACCUGAUAUUAAGCGCCCCAUAAAAUAGGUUAUUACAACAUUAAUAUAGAGUAGCAUACAAAGUGAACAUAACACACUGCAUGCAUGUGUAUUUACAGAGGCUAUCGAUGAGAUGUGGGCAGGCCAGCUGGAGUGCAUCCAGGAUCCACCAGGCAUGAACAUGUAUAGGGUGGCGCGUAGCACAACUAUCAAUAAUGUGGACGUGCCCCAUUACAAAUGUCUGCGUGGAAGCAACAGCCUGGAAGGAUUCCACAAAUCGCUGCCACACAUGAUUCCAGGUGAUUUCUCGUGUUAUAACAAACUAAUCAGGUGACUUUGACAAUAUUCUAGAGAGAAAGCACAGGCUGAACUAUUAAUUAAUUAAACAUAAAACACUUCACUCUACGACGGCAACACAUCAGGGAAUGUUUCACUGGACAGGACGGUGAUGAGAAGAGAAAAAAUCUGUAAAAAGUACAUGAUAUUUACCAAAGAGAUGUAUUGGCUUGUAAGUGUGAAGUAGCUUCAAAUGGAAAAUGAUAAAAUAUCGUGGACUUAAGUUAAUUAGUUAAAUAAAUGUGCUUAGUUACAUUCCAGCUCAAGAUGAAGGUUUUACUGUCAUGUGUACUUGUGUGGAGUUAUCAGGACAAAUUGACAUUAACGCUUUGUUUAACUUUGUUCUACUCAGGGCCCCAUUGUGCAGCACGGCCCUAUCAGGUUUACCUGAUGAGUGGCAUUGCUCGGUGGAAUUCGGACAGGAGUUUGGACGCCGUGUUUGGUGGCAAAGGACAGAAUCACAGGAAAUACUCUGCGCCGCUCAUUCACCGCCUCAACACCCGCUGUCAGCAGCUGUUUGGCGAGACUGGAGGAGAAUUUCCGGGCCCCCGCCAAUGUUGCUUCCAACGAGUUGCUUGGGUUGGAAUAUUUAUUCAGCCAACGCACGGGUGUAUCCGAACCCUUUUCCCUGGUGGACAUCAUCAAUGAUGGACCUGGUCCAGAGGAGGAGGUGGUUCAGCACGGGCAGCCCGAUCCAGAGGCUGACGAGGCGUACCAGAGCGACGGGGAGGCUGGUGGCAACGUGUUGGAUGCCAUCCUGCCCCACAUUAAUCUCACCAGCGACGAAACUGCAACUCUUCACCCUCCAGCCUCUGGUACAAACCAAAGACCAAGUCACAGCAUAUGCAGCGAGAGCGAACUGGUCCAAAACCGGGCUUUUUAAAGAGCCCAGCCAGCUGCGACCACUGACGAGGGGGUGGAUGGCUGCAGUCCAAACCCGCUUCCUGGCUUUGAAAAGCUAUAAAAGUUCUGUUCUGGUGGCAAUCAGCCCGACAGAGGACAAGCUGACGCUUUCCACUGAGCAGAGGAACGAGGUCCUUGAAUCCCGGAAUGCUGUGGAGGAGCACGACAAGCAGCCGCAGCAGUUCAACCAGCUGUACAGAAGGAUCCGAUCCUCUGCAAGGCCGGCAUUCCUCUGCCAAAGAUCAACGUCAAAACUGUGCAGGACUUCACCCGGCGUCAGGAGCGCCUCCUGAACAUGAAUCCCACAAAACAGUCCUCUACUGUAACGAAGAUCACCUCCAUUUCAUCUGCUGACCUCCCUCGAGCACUACACCAGCCGUCAGUCCUCCACCACUCUACCCUCUGAUGGAGUACGGGGCCAUCCCCAGCACAGCAGGGACUACGGUGUUGAAGGGAAGGACGGACAUGAUGAUGGCUCUCUUCCGGCCUCUACCACCACUGCAACUCCUGCAACCGCUGGCGGCUGUAAAAAAAAAAUCCUGCCACCUCCACCAUCUCCAGACCUGUACCCUCCAUGUCCAGCUCCGCAGCCGACACGGAGUGCGCUGGCCCCUCCACUCGGCCAAUAUUGCCUGCAAAUCCUCCUGCAUCACUGCCAUCUCUGUCCACAAUGCCUACUGCUUGUGAUUUAAGUUCACCAUCCUGGGCAAGAUCCACGCAGUACAAGCGAAAGAGUAUGGAACAUCCCUCUGCAGUUGGAGUCGAGGUGUCGCGGGUGCACAAACUCCCUCUCUGUACAUGACACUUCUUUUUGUGUAGGUAAUAUGUUAAAUAAAUUAC
ensembl:lncRNA